rnacentral:rRNA from 1 species
AGCAGCCGCGGUAAUUCCAGCUCCAAUAGCGUAUAUUAAAGUUGUUGCAGUUAAAAAGCUCGUAGUUGAAUUUCGGGAUCAAUUAAUUGGUCGUGCCUCUGGUACGUACUGAUUUUAUUGGUUUCUCCCUUCUGACGAACCAUGAUGUCAUUAAUUUGGUGUCGUGGAGAAUCAGGACUGUUACUUUGAAAAAAUUAGAGUGUUUAAAGCAAGCUAACGCUUGAAUACAUUAGCAUGGAAUAAUGAAAUAGGACGUUUGAUCCUAUUUUGUUGGUUUCUAGGAUCGACGUAAUGAUUAAUAGGGAUAGUUGGGGGCAUUAGUGUUCAAUUGUCAGAGGUGAAAUUCUUGGAUUUAUUGAGGACUAACUACUGCGAAAGCAUUUGCCAAGGAUGUUUUCAUUAAUCAAGAACGAAAGUUAGGGGAUCGAAGACGAUCAGAUACCGUCGUAGUCUUAACCAUAAACUAUGCCGACUAGGGAUCGGAUGAUGUUAAUUUUUUUAAUGACUCAUUCGGCGCCUU